rnacentral:lncRNA from 1 species
CAACCAUCAGCUGGUCUCAUAUUUUUAUACAUUUUAUAAAACCACAUUCAGCAGAAUUUGGAACCAAUAUAUCGGUAUGUUAAUAAUUAUUAUGAAAUGAAUCCAUUUAAUAAGUACUAGAAAUUAAAAAUCUGAUCUUUAUAGUGGACUUCAGUUAAGAUGGAGGAGAGGCAGAUGAUACUCAUAAUGAUCAUCACAGUUUCAGGUGGUUUUGCUGAUAGAAUUGGACCGAGAGAAGGAGACACUAAUAUAAUCAGAGAAGAAGGAGAGUCUGUGACACUGAGCUGCACAUAUGAAACAACCAGCGAUAAUAUUUGGCUCUACUGGUACAGACAAUAUCCAAACAGAGAACCAGAAUAUAUACUGUUUAAAGGCGCUCGAUCACGGAGCAGUGAAGAGGAGAUACCAGAUGGGUUUCAGUCAACUACAUCCCAGACAUUCACUGAACUUACUAUUGUAAAAGCAGCUCUGUCAGAUUCUACUCUUUAUUACUGUGCACUUCAAGUAGCCCAGUGAUACAAAAUACCAGAGAAGCUUUACAAAAACUCAUAUGAAAUUAAUGCUUUGAAGAGUCUUUAAUCAAUCAGUAUCAAAACACAUCAUGUUUUUAUAAACCACAAACAGUGAAUGUGGUAACAGCUGUGAAUUUAGAAGGUUAAAAUGUUGCAUAAGGACAUGUGAAAACAAUUUAGCAUGCAUUACAUGCAUUCUCAUGUCUCAUGACAUCUCUUUUCUCAUUUGCAUACGUUUCUAAGGAUGUCAGUAAAAUGGUCUAUAAUCAAUUCAAGUCUCAUGAAAAAACAACAACAAAACACUAAUUUACCUGCAUGAUUAUAAUUGUUAAUUGUUCUUCAGAUGUUACUUUUGUGAAUGUCACACUAGUCCGAAUAAUAAAAAGGACCAAACAAUAAAAACCUAUUUAAAAAAAGGGGGAAACAAUAAAGAUGUUGCAUAAAAAUAUGAACAGCACUUACAGACGAUUGUUAGAAGAAACAGUAUACUGGUUAAAAUGACAAAAUGUAUAUAGUUUUAAUAUAAAGAAAUAUAUUUGUUAGGUGCCAAAUUAUCAUCAUGAACACAUUCAAACAUUCAGGAUCAGAGAUCACAGAUCUAGGAUCAGAGAGAGAUGAUCUGCUUCAUAAAUUCAGGACUGUAGCUUUAAGAGGAGGUGCUAGAGGCAACCUCUGCUAUUUGUUAAAUUGAUGUUUACUUCAGUAACUGUUGGUGAUGCAGAUAAAUGGAAACAUUAUCUUGGAAAAUUAUGAUUUUUUUCCUUUUGCUCUGUUUUCUUGUCUGUAAUUAUUUAAUAUACACUUUUUUAUUGUUUAUUGAGGCAAAAUUUGUAGUAAAUGGUUUGUUAAUAGCAAGAAUUGAACCUUAAAAUAAAGUGUGACUGUAAGGUUUUCCUUCUCAAAAUUAAAAAAU